rnacentral:misc_RNA from 1 species
CUGAGUUACAAAAAAGGUCUACAAGCUCUUUGGAGUGAGGAUUCCUUUUUUUCUUCUCUUCACCCUUUGUUAUUAUUUUCCAAGUUGCUUUGGUAGGGCAGAGUAAUCUCUUUCCUACCAAGGGACCUUCUUAAACACUUUGUUAUCCAACAAUUGGGAUGUCUUUUUGUCUGAUUCUUAUGACUUGAAUAAGUACAUA